GCGAGGUGGGGGUAGCUGGCAUAAUUUGGAGAUCACUCAUGUCGAUUCUGCAAAUUCAAUAAAGUGCAGGGGAGAGAAGGGAGAGGGAGAGAGAGAGUGGGGGGAUAAUUUGGGAAGAGAAAAUUGCAGCUGUGACAAGACGUUUAUCAUUCGGAAGCUUUAAUUCUAUUGAAAUGGCAGCUGCUCAGCUCCGGGGCACAGAGCAGCCGGGAGAGGGGGAGUUGGCGGUGGGAGGGAGAAGGGGAGUUGGCAGUGGGAGGGAGAAGGGGUCCCCUCCCUGGUCCUUCUGCCAUGAAAAGAGCAGAAGGUGGCACAAACAGAGAGGAGGAGGUGACAGCCCUUAAGCGAAGGGUUCCAGGCUUGUGGGUCUUGAGUUGUCACCCACUCUUGCAGCAGGACCCACCACUUCCUGGGCUCAGGACAAGGCAUCCCCAGCCUCCUGUGGCAGGACACUCCAGUCCCCUCCAUUCCUGUCUGGGGCUCUUCGUCCAACAGUCAGAACCAUCUCACCCGUGCCCCCUCCCCACUGCCCUCCCCACAAAGGGCUAGGGGGUCCUGCAGCCCCCUCCCCCAUCCCAUCCCCCAAGGCUCAGGCUCCAUGGCAACGGCCACGCAGACAAGGAGGCGUCUGUCAGCGUCAUUUAUCUCUGACAUCAUCAAUCACCGGUCACCACGGCAACACCCAUGAUUCAACACAAGAGGGUCUCCCUGUCCAGCCUUUCCCUCCCUCCCUCCAUCAGGCCUCAGCUGAGCCCAAAGUGGAAACCCCAUUUCCUCUGGGAUCCGUGAAGUCCCAAUUCUUUCUUCCAACUCUGAAUCCCAGGCUUAACUAGACAAUGGCUUUUGGAUCCUUGUGCCAGCCCUUCCACCCCCCCAUACACACAUAAGUCCAGCCAAGCACCCCUCAGAAUUCAAGCCCCUCCCCUAAGACUCACAAUCAGAAGGGACUGCCUAUGCCUCUGAGCCCCACCCCAAAGCCAAGCACGGCCUGGAAGAAAGCCAUCCUGGAGCAUGCACACACGCACACAUACACAAGCACACACAGCCAGACGUGCAGAAACAGGAACGGUUACACAUACACGGUCCCGGAGCACAGACCUGCCCGUGGACACACAGCCAGCCAGACUCGCAAACAGGUCCUUGCAGCUACACACAAACCAUCCUCAACCGUGAGCCCGCACACCACGGCAUGCGUGUUCAUGCAUGUGCACAAACAUCCACAGAGCCCUGCUCCCUUGGUCUUUAGGAGCAUCUGAGACCCCAACUCAGGCGGGACUCGGCCCCUGCCCUAUGGCACUCACACUCCUUGGACAUGCCCACUUCGAAGCACUUCUGCAGUCGGCAGUACUGGCAGCGGUUCCGAGUCACCUUGUUGAUGAUACAGUUCUUGUCCCGGUGACACGUGUACACCAUGUUCUUCUGGAUGCUGCGGCGGAAGAAGCCCUGGGUAUGGAGGGGAGGGAGUCAGGUUGUCCACACCCACAGUGGGAGCAGUGCCUGGCUACGGUCUCAGUCUAGGGGAGGAGGGCCAGGCCAGCUGCUGCCCCCAAGCGUUUGCCCAUCGCCUACCUGAGCAGGCCAGAAAAGCUGGGGAGAAUGAUUCACCUAAAAGGAUCCUCCUCAGGAGAAUCCCAGUACCUGCCUCAACGCUGCAGGAUGGGCAGGAGUCUUCCCCCAACCCACAGCACACACCUGACUCCUCCCUUCCAGGGAAAAGACCUCAGGGCUGCUGGUGAGUCAGAAAUAGGAAGACAUGGGGCUAACGGGGCAACAGCCAGGGAUCUGGAACCCACACCCCUGAACUCAGAACACAGGAAAAGAAGACAAGCCCGAAGAGGCCAGGAGGCAGAUACACGGGCUGGCCAGAGAAAUGGAGGCAAACACACACAUGCACUCAGGAGCAAGGCAGAAAGAUGUGAGUUCACCAAGACAGGUGUGCACCGACCCAUCACAGACACAGACCCAGGCUGGCCAGGGGCUCCACAUACAGGCUGACCAGACGGACAGGUGGACAGAGGAAGAACAGACCAGGAACAACCAGACAGGACAGGCAGACACACAGCCUGGGGCCUUGUGCUUUGCCCUUGACCUCCGUCCCACAUCUGGGGAUAGCUACUCCAGGCUGAAGAGCAGCCCAGAGCUGCAAGGCCCAAAGCUGUGAAGAUUCUGAGCCCCAAUCUCUGGAGGAAGAAACGCACACAGAGGCUCAGGCCCCAGGGAAAGGAGGAGAAGCCGGGCGCAGGGCUGCUAAGGACCAGAGCCUCUCCCAGCCUCACCACUGCUGGCAGGAUUCAAGUCUUAAGAAAACUGGGACUCCCCAGCCAGACUC
rnacentral:lncRNA from 1 species